rnacentral:rRNA from 1 species
GGACGAACGCUGGCGGCGUGCUUAACACAUGCAAGUCGAACGCUGAAGGCCCAGCUUGCUGGGUUGGAUGAGUGGCGAACGGGUGAGUAACACGUGAGUAACCUGCCCCCUUCUUUGGGAUAACGGUCGGAAACGGCUGCUAAUACCGGGUAUUCACUGUCCUUCGCAUGGGGGGUGGUGGAAAGGUUUUUUCUGGUGGGGGAUGGGCUCGCGGCCUAUCAGCUUGUUGGUGGGGUGAUGGCUUACCAAGGCUUUGACGGGUAACCGGCCUGAGAGGGUGACCGGUCACAUUGGGACUGAGAUACGGCCCAGACUCCUACGGGAGGCAGCAGUGGGGAAUAUUGCACAAUGGGCGAAAGCCUGAUGCAGCGACGCCGCGUGAGGGAUGRMGGCCUUCGGGUUGUAAACCUCUUUCGCUCAUGGUCAAGCCGCAACAGUGGUUGUGGUGAGGGUAGUGGGUAAAGAAGCACCGGCUAACUACGU